UUUUUUCCUAUAUACAUAUACAAUAGAAAAAAAGAAGGGGAACCACUCUAUUUUUUUUUCUCCUUUUUCUUCCUGGCAAUGGAUUCAUACACAAGAAAUCCUCACCAUUUUAAACACACAAUCCACUAUUAACACACACCAAUAUAACAGACACACACACACUAAUCUGCAGGGACACACAAAACAAUGAAGUAGUAAAGAGAGAGAGUAACAAAGAGAGAGAAAAAGGAGAUCGAGAGGGAGAACGGGGGUUUUGAGUUUUUCGGCGAACCCAUCGCCGGAACUGAUUAUUUCAGUCUUUUUUGGGGCAUCACAGGUUUAAAACCACUACCGCUUCAAAAUUCCCCAAAAUUUCUUUAAUGUUCUUAUAUUGUGUUACCGGAAAAACGUCAAAGCAUAUCGAGAUUCGCCGGAAUUGACUGUUUCUGGUCGUUUUCAGCGAUUUCGGUGACGUUCAUUUCAGUUAAGCUCCUUCCGGUGAGUUUUUGGUCAGAUUUGGUUAUCUACACAUCGGAUUCAGUCAUCGCAGCUUACCGGAGCUCAGGCGAUACUAUUUUCUUAGUUUUUGAUCGGAUUUUGCGGGUUUCGGGUCAGCUAAUUUUCAUGUCUUGUAUUCGAUAUUUGUGCUAUUGGGGGUUUUUGAUACCAGAGUUGGAGUUGGUCUGUUGUUGAGGUUCGAAUCAAAGGUUUCGGAUGCGGAGAACCCGAAUUUAAUUGAAAUAAUACGUUGAUUUCGAAAGCUUAUUCUAAGGUCCAAUUUUUCAACUCCUUCUUUUCAUUUUACUCAAUUUGAUAUAUUGAUGUUGUGAUUUGCAUGUUUCGUGAUGAUUGAUAAUAUAUUUUGAUCGCAUGUUUGAACAUCUAUGAUUGUCGUGGCUUUGCUUGGAUGUUUCUAUAUUGAAGUUGAUUGUUUGAUCGAAAAAUGAGAUUUGAGGGGGCGGGAAUUGAAAACAUUGAUAAAAGUGAACAUUAAUUUAUGUUGAUUCAUUGAUAGUCGCUUAAUUCGGGAUAAGCAUCGACUUGGUUAAAUUCGAUAGUCUCGUGUGAUAGGUCGAUUCGGAUAGGCAAAUGUAGACUCGGGUAGGCAAACUUAGAAAUUGU
rnacentral:lncRNA from 1 species